GUCUGGGAAGAUCCCACAUGCCGCGGAGCAACUAAGCCCGUGCACCACAGCUACUGAGCCCACGUGCCACAACUACUGAAGCCUGCGUGCCUACAGCCCGUGCUCCGCAACAAGAGAAGCCACCACAAUGAGAAGCCCGUGCACAGCAAUGAAGACCCAACGCAGCCAAAAAAUAAAUUAAAAAAGAAAAGGUAGGUCUCUGACUUGACCUUUAAUUAAUCAAGGUCUAAAUAGUGACAUUUCUCCGCUUUCAUUUAUCUACUUAAUUUAAAAAAUUUAAAUCCAUCAUCUGUGAUUUGUAAUCAAAUUUCCUUAAGCACUUUCAUUUUGUAUGUUUAAGGUCGGUGCUUUGCCCUCCAGUAGCUCUGUUUCAGGAGGUGAUCUCAGUGCUGGGUAUGCUGCUGCUUCCUCACUCUGGCUGCUAGAUUAGGGGCCUUGUUAUUUUCCUUUGCCUUCACGGGGUCCCACCCUUGCUCAGGGCUCAAGUCCUGCUGCUGGUGUACCUCCAGGGCAACUCCACUAGUUCUGAGAGGCACUGGUGUUUUCUGUCUUGGCAGCCUGCUGGCACUCAAGCCAGAAGGUUGUUUAUCCCCUACUGAGAACUCUCUGCUCUCUGGAUUCCUGAUUCUGGGGCAGGAAGGAUUCAGUCAGUUUGUCAAUUCCCCACUAUCCCUAAGGGCCAGACAGGUGAAAAGGAAUGAGGUUUGGUAUGAUCAUAUAUUAGUGACUUUUCAAUCCUCACACCAGGACUCUUGCUGUUUCUACAGGACCCCAAGGUUUUUAUCUGGCCUGAAAGGGAAAGUCCGGAGUUUAAUCUCUUCUGAAGAGAUCUAAGCAGACUUGAAGUUUAGCUUAUACACUCUACCUGCUUGCUUGGGGGAAGUAGUUGGUAUUUGGGCUGGAGUUGAAAGAGUUGAGCAGUAGGAACUAAUUCACAUGGCUGUUUUCCCUGAAAUCUCCCAAUGUUGAGCUCUUAACUUUGGGUCAUUUGUUAGACAUCUUUUUGUAACUUUUUCAAGGACUCAUGGAUGCUUUAUUUUCUCAGCUCAUCUGAAAUCAUCUGUUUCUUUUUACAUGUUGAAGGAAACUUGAAUAGACAUAAGUGUUUUACCAUUCUAGGGUUGCAGUUUUCUCUUUGAGAACUUUAUAGAUAUUGCUUAAUUAUUUUGGUAUUUGAAAUUGCAGUCAGGCCCACCCCUAAUGUUUACAGGAUCCAAGGCAAGAGUUCAAAUGGAGAUCCAUGUACAAUAUAUCUAAAUAUUUUAAAUGUUUGAAUCAUGAUAACAAACUUAAAAUAUAUUCCAUCCUCUUACCUUGGCAAAUAAAUUUUUAUUACAAUAAAAUUGAAAAAGAUGGGUAGCACUAUGGUUUUUAUAUGACAAAGUACAAAAUAUCAAAGUGGACUGAAUUUAAUUAUUGCACAUAUCUGGGUGUUCAACAGCAGUGUCUGGGUGAGUAAUAAAGUCGUAUGCCUUUGAAUAAUGUUUUUGUUUCUUUUGUUCAGGUCUCUCCUUCAGGAAUGCUGCUUAUUUUGAUUCUAUUCUCUAUAUAUUUGGAUAUUCUUCCGUUGCUUUUAUCUUUUCUUGUCUUUUCAAAUCUUUAUUCUGAAGAAACUUUUUCAUUUGUUUUGCUUUCAUUCUAACAAAAUCAUUAAUUAUAUUCUUAUAAGAAUUUUCUCACAAUAUCUGUUGGUACUAACAUAAAGUAUAAAAAAUGUAUUCCAAGUGUAUAAUAUUUAAAUAUAUUUCAUUAAAAUGGAAAUUAAAAUAAAUAUUAAAAUUAUUUUUGUUUUAAAAAGUUGUCUUAAAAUAUUCAGUUAUUAAAGCUAAAAGACAAAAUAUGAAUACAGCUAGUGUUCAUAUUUUGUCUUUUAGCUUUAAUAACUUUGAAUAUUUUAAGACAACUUUUUUUUUUUUCCUGUACGCGGGCCUCUCACUGUUGUGGCCUCUCCCGUUGCGGAGCACAGGGUCCGGACGCUCAGACUCAGCUGCCAUGGCUCACGGGCCCAGCCGCUCCGCGGCAUGUGGGAUCUUCCCGGACCGGGGCACGAACCCGUGUCCCCUGCAUUGGCAGGCGGACUCUCAACCACUGCGCCACCAGGGAAGCCCAGUGUCUCAAUUUUAAAUAAAAUUUAAAUAAUUUUUGAAACUUUAAUGAAAUGUUAUUAAAUGGUUUUAUAAAUAAAACUCCUUGCAAUUUUAAUGUUCAACGUCCAUCUUGUUGAUAAGGUAAAGAAUCAGUAACACUUCACACGUUACUUGUUAUUUCUACAACUAUUUAUACACAACUGUAAGAGUAAUAAUAAGUUACUUAAUAUUGCAAAGUGUUGAACUUUAUGUACCUGGUGUGAAUACCUUACUAUUUGUGAAUCAUUAUGUCAUUUUAAAAUUUAGUCUUAUUUAGUCUCUUUAGAACAGCUCUGCCACCUUUCCUCCUUGACAUUGCCAUUGGAAGAAACCAGAUCACUUGUCUAGUAAGAUGUCCCACAUUCUUGAUUUGUCUGAUUGUUUAACUUGUUCUUUUAACUCCCAUAUUCCUAUUAACUGGAGGUUUAGCCCAAAGGUUUGGCUGGAAACAUGGUAAACAUUUCUUGGCAAGAAUGCUUCAUGGUUAAUGCUGUAUAUUUAAUAUUGCAUCCCAUCAGUGAGCACAAAGUGUCAAGUUUGUCACUUGGCUAAGAUGAUAAUGCCAGCUCAAUCAGUUGUAAGAUAUGUUUUUCCUUUACAAUAAGCAAGUAAUCUGUGGGGUGAUAUUUGGUUCUGUGCCAAUAUCAUCUUCAAAAACCUUUACCCAAUGGUUUUAACAUCCUGUCUGAAUUAAUUAUUUCAAUAAGAACUGCAAAAAGAUUUUUCCAAUUAAGUAAUUCCUCCUACAUUUAUUAGCUGGCAUUUUUCUCUAAAGAAGAAUUUUCCCUCAUCAACAGGAGAUAAAUAAUAGUUCUUCCCCAAAGGCAGGAUAAAUGUUUAAUUCUUUACAGAGUGAAGAAAUGUUUACCUAUAAGGGAUGAAGAGGCCAUGGGAACAGGAGAAGGAUGGGAGCAAGACUUCUCUGAGAUACAUUCUAAGGACGAAAAGAACUGCAAAGAAAUCUUGAAACUUCACUGGUAAUUUUAUUGCUGAUACGAAUAGAAUUAUGAGGACCCAAGACUUUCACUGCCAGAGAAAAGAUACACAAAUAUAAACCCAGAGGUUCAUAAAAAUCCCUGUAAUAUCAAAUAUGAUUAUUAAUAUGAACUCAUUUAAAAACAUUUAAGAACAUUUCCUAGUUUUGUCCAUGGAAAGAACAUAGAAUUAAUGAUGCCCCAACUGGUAAAAAUAAGAUUCCCAGGUAUAUAUGAUCUCACUCACAAAAUUGGCACUCUAUGGCGAAACUGCAAAGCUGGUUAAAUCCAGUGCUGUACCCCUCAGGUGCCUGCACCUAUGAAGAUGGACUUACCUGGAGAAAAACACACCACACUAACUGAAUUCAUCACCCUAACCUGACGUGGGCCUCAGUGAUACCUCACGGUUGAAGUAUAGAUUCUUGGUCCAUUCACUGUGCUACUCUUUUGAUUAUUUCACACUUCUCUUUUCCCCUGUUUCCAAGUCACUUCCUCUCUCCUCACUCUGCCAGUUUUGCUUCCUAAUUCUCUGAGAAGAUGGAAACAAUCAGAAAAGAACUUCCUAGGCUCUCAUCACAUCUACACUAUACAAUGCAAACCAUCACUCACAUGUAGUCUAGCAUCUUUCCUGCUGUUAUAGAACCUCCCUUUCCUCCACAUAGGGAGAACAUCUCAUCCUCUCCCACCUUGCAUAGGGACAUUACCAGCAUUCUCCCUCCAUCACCGUUGUCCCUCGCUACUUAAUUAUUCCUAUGAGCAUAUACAUAUGUUAUUUCCCCAUCCUUUAGGAAACUUCUCCUAACCCCACUUUCUCUGCCAGCUACUGCCUUGAUUCUCUGCUUGGCAGAAAAACUCCUCAAAAGAGUUAUCUGUAUGUUCCAUAGGGCCCAUGAAACCACCGUCCAUAUAAAUUUAUGGAAUAUUUUAUCUCUCCAGAAGGUUUCCUCAUGCCCCUCCCUAGUCAACACACCCUCAAAAGGUAAUCACUAUUCUGACUUCCAUCAUUAUUUGUUUUGCCUAAACUACAUAUAAAUGCAUCAUCAGUAUGUACUGUUGUGACUACUUUCACUUAAUAUAAUGUCUGUAAUAUUCAUCUGUUUUGUUGCAAGUAUCAGUAGUUUUUUUUUUUUUAAUUAAAUUACUAUGUAGUA